CAGAACCAGACGCGAAUCACCUCCUUCUCCAUGUUGAGCUGCUCAGCGAUGAGUAGAAUCUCCUCUGAGUAAAGCGUAACUAAAUGCUGCCCAGAUGUUACUCAGAUGUUCCGCUUACCGUGCUAAAACUGCGCUCCAAAGCCACACGAACAUUCGUCUCUAUGCUGGUGCGUUUCUUGCGGCGGCGGGCAGUCAGGCCCUCAUAGGCCAGAGAUGGUGAGGACAGAGAGCUGGGACUUGGCAAGGUGCGAGCAAACUGUUCGAGCUCUUCCAGGUCACUUGGCUCCUCGCUGUGAGAAGUCACAGGGUUCACCGUACUCACACUGCUUUCCAUGACCUUUUCUCUCUGCUGGAAAAAUAUGGAUGCAAUGAAUCUAACAA